rnacentral:rRNA from 1 species
UACGUAGGGGGGCAAGCGUUAUCCGGAUUUAUUGGGCGUAAAGAGCUCGUAGGCGGCCGUUCGCGUCGGAUGUGAAAGUCCAGGGCUCAACCCUGGAAUGCGGGUGGAUACUGCCGGGCUAGAGUCCGGAAGAGGCGAGUGGAAUUCCUGGUGUAGCGGUGAAAUGCGUAGAUAUCUGGAGGAACACCGGUGGCGAAGGCGGCAUCCUGGACCGGCAUUGACGCUGAGGCGCGAAAGCCAGGGGAGCAAACGGG